ensembl:lncRNA
UAAUUACUCCAGUAGUUAUUUAGACAACUCACAAUUGCCUGAUUUGAGCACACAGUUGGAGGAUGUGCCAAAGGCAGGUGCAUACUUUUUUUUCUUUUUUUAAUUUAACAGUAGCACAAAUCUACAGGUUUAAUUCUUUACAUUGCCCUUUUGCCUCCCAAGAGAAUGCUACUUAUGCAUGUGUUCUUAUAUAAAAUGCAGUGUAUUACAAAGGCAGAAAAUACGUAUUUCCACAUGUUUAUAGUGGACUGGUCACUGUGAUAUAUACAGACUGACUGUAGAUGACUGUAUGAAUUCUAAAUCAAAUGCUGUGCCCUGUAUUGGACUAAAAUACAAUUUCAGUAUCGAGCUGUUAAGUAUUCAAAGCAUAUUUUNAUGGGCAUGGUGGGGAUGGGUCAACAGUUGGACUGGAUCAUCUCAGAGGUCUUUUCCAACAUUAACAAUUCUAUGAUAAAUAUGUAUGUUACAGCUCUUCUGGCAAGUAAAACAAACCCUCCAGUGCUAAGUGGUCCUCUAAAAUAGCUCACAUGCUUUUAGAUCUUAUAAUGAAUGCCCAAGCAGUGUUAAAGCAGCGUCCUUGGCAGCCACAGGCCUCUGUCACCAGGCAGGAAGCACCUGGUCAGCCUGAGUGCCAGCAAACAAAGCUCAGCACAUCAUUUAGAACGUUCCAGCACUGCGCUGGUUUGUGACAUUCACGUCCUCCUUCUAUGAGGAAGUUUCCUGAGUGGUGUGAAUCCAGCCAGCUGCUUCCAGGGAGAGCUGCACUGAACUCAUUUCAAACUACCUCAUUUUAAGCCACUCUGGGUAUGUUUUAUGUACAUAACAGACCCUGGGCAUCCUUAGAGGGCGAAUGGCACCCAAAAAGAAGAAAAAAAAAAAAGAAAAAAAAAGGAAAACUUCCUAAUUUCAAUAAACCCCAGCGCCCCGUUCUGCUGCUGCUGCCUCCGAGGGCUCGCAAGGAGCGGGCGGCAAGGGAGCUGCGCCACUGCCCAUGCCAAAGCCCGACCCGACCCCUUCCUCCUCGUCCUCCUCCGCCCCGCCAGGCUGCCGCCUUCCCGGGUGCCCCUCAGCCCCCCGCUUGCCCCAGUGCCGCGCAGGGAGCGGGGAGCAGGAAGCGAGACCCAGGAGCGGAGAGCAGCAACCACAAUCCAAAGGCUGCCGCGGCCUCACCGCCGCCUUGCGCGCCUGCGCGCAGGGAGAGGAGAAGGGGGGCGGGUGGGAGGCGGUGCUAUCGCGCGUCUCCGCGUGCAGGCAGGGAGCCCUUCCCCUUCCCUUCUCUUCCUUUCCCUUCCCCGGGCCUCCCCCACCGCCUCCCCCUGCCCCGCGUCCCUCGCAGGGCGCCGGGCCGGCGCGGGGGUCUGCGAGCAGCGCAGGGAGGGAGGGAGGGAGGCAGGGAGGGAGCGGGGAGAGAGAGAAAGAGAAAGAGAGAGAGAGAGAGAGAGGCUGAGCCAGAUCUUCAUGCCACUGCAGGCAGCAGCAGCAGCAGCAAAACUUCUGAAGGUUUGCAGAAGAUAGUAAGAGAACCACCAAGAAGGCUGUGGCAGUAUUGA